AAGUCCGUCCUGACGAUCAGUAACGAAUGGAAAAAAAAAAAAAAAAAAAUUAAUUAAUUUUAAAAUCAAUUCUUUAUAAUAAACAAUCAAAUGAAAAAGAAAAAAA
rnacentral:ribozyme from 1 species